GGAUGUGAGGGUGAUCUGGCUGCGACAUCUGUCACCCCAUUGAUCGCCAGGGUUGAUUAGGCUGAUCUGGCUGGCUAGGCGGGUGUCCCCUUCCUCCCUCACCGCUCCAUGUGCAUCCCUCCUGAAGCUGCGCGCUUGGUCUAAGAAAGAGGACGGCCCGAAUAGAGAGUAGCUGUGCUCCCCUGCUAGAACCUCCAAACAAGCUCUCUAAUGACAAAUGAAAUGGAACAAUUCUUUAUUUAUCUGUGGGUCGUGUAU
rnacentral:snRNA from 1 species